rnacentral:lncRNA from 1 species
CUUUUUAGCUCACCUGGCCCGAAGGGCCAAGUGAGCUUUUCUCACCACUUGGCGUCCGUCGUCCGUCGUCGUCGUCCGUCGUCCGUCGUCGUCCGUCGUCGUCGUCGUUAACAAUUUACAUUUUGAACUUCUUCUAGAGAACCACUGAAUGGAAUGGAACCAAACAUGGCAUGAAUGUUCCUUAUGAGGUGCUGACCAAGUGUUGUUACUUUGUAGCCGAUCCAUCAUCCAAGAUGGCCGCCAGCGGGGGACUUAGUUUAACAUAGGACGCUAUGGGAAAUGCAUACAAAUGACUUCUUUUAGAGAACCACUGAAUGGAAUGAAACCAAACAUGGCAUGAAUGUUCCUUAUGAGGUGCUGACCA